rnacentral:rRNA from 1 species
UACGGGGGGUGCGAGCGUUAUCCGGAAUCACUGGGUUUAAAGGGUGCGUAGGCGGCCCGUUAAGUCAGGGGUGAAAGGCCGCGGCUCAACUGCGGGACUGCCCUUGAUACUGGGGGGCUGGGAUGGGCCCGAGGCGUGCGGAAUGCGGCAUGUAGCGGUGAAAUGCAUAGAUAUGCCGCAGAACACCGAUUGCGAAGGCAGCGCGCCAGGGCCAGAUCGACGCUGAGGCACGAAAGCGUGGGGAUCGAACAGG